UGUCGAACUGCUGUGCUGUCAAAUACUUUCCAAAAAUUGUGAACGCGAGCUAUAUGAAUCUCUUCCCUCUCCCAGACGAUGCUCCAAACCCGACCAUUAAUCUUCAACGGGGAUGGUGUCGAACUCGGUCCCGCCGGGGCACGGCCCGCACGCGUUUCACCGGCGGCGUUCUCCGGCGCCGACUCACCGUUCACACUCCGGUAAUUCGUUCUGCGAAAUGCUGCCUGUAUCGUCCACCGCCUCGUCCGCCUCCAUCUUCUUCCGCCGCUCCGUAGUCGUUGUUUCCUUCUUUGCCGUUGCCUUUCUCUCGUGUUUCGUCUUCUUCAGAGCCGCCAGCACCGCCGGCUUUCGGAUUCUUCGCUCUCCCGGCCCCUCCCAUCCCCUAAGCUAUGUUUUCCCCUCUGUCGCGGAGAAUGACACAGCGGUUAUUGAAGAGUACAACCUUGAAAGAGUGUUGAAGAAUGCUGCCAUGAAUGAUGAAACAGUUAUUUUAACAACUUUAAAUGAAGCUUGGGCAGCUCCAAAUUCAAUCAUUGAACUUUUUCUUGAGAGCUUUAGAACUGGAGAGGGCACCCGUAAACUUCUGAAUCAUUUAGUGAUUGUUGCCUUGGAUGAGAAAGCGUUUUCUCGUUGUUUAGUUCUUCAUGCCCAUUGCUAUGCCCUUGUCACUGAAGGGGUCGACUUCUCUCAGGAGGCAUAUUUUAUGACCCCCGACUACUUGAAGAUGAUGUGGAGAAGGAUUGAUUUCCUACGUUCUGUUCUUGAGAUGGGGUACAAUUUUGUUUUCACAGAUGCCGAUGUCAUGUGGUUCAGGGACCCAUUCCCAUGGUUCCAUUCGGAUGCAGAUUUUCAAAUUGCAUGCGAUCAUUUUGUGGGCAACUUUGAUGAUUUGCAGAACAGACCAAAUGGAGGAUUUAACUAUGUUAGGUCCAAUAACCGGUCAAUAGAGUUUUACAAGUUUUGGUACUCCUCACGAGAAGUUUAUCCAGGAUACCAUGACCAGGAUGUCCUCAAUAUGAUCAAGUUUGAUGCUUUUAUCAUGGAUAUUGAGCUGAAGAUCAGAUUCUUGAGUACUGCUCAAUUUGGUGGAUUUUGCGAACCGAGCAGAGAUUUGAAUCAAGUUUGUACAAUGCAUGCAAAUUGCUGUGUAGGCCUAGUCAGUAAGCUUCAUGAUCUUAGAAUCUUGCUUGAAGAUUGGAAACGGUUCUUGUCUUUGCCGCCAGGCUUGAAGAGAUCCUCAAUAUUAUCCUGGCGGGUUCCUCAGAAGUGCAGCAUUGAGCGUAUCCAUCCGCGGCAGAAUGCAACUUCCAAGAGUAUUGCCCCAGCCAAAGAAGAUUGAAUCAACUGUACAGAAUAAGAGGUGAGAAAUGUACAAACAAGUAUAACUGCUUUGGAAGAGGACUGCAAGACUGAAGGAGCUUCCACAACUCUUGGGGUGGCAUCUGCAAACAUCAAAAUAAGAGAAGUAUUCAAAACAAAAUUCAGUAAAGGAGGCCAAGAAGUUUAUCAGGUAUACAAAUUCAAGCAAGGAGGUGGAUAUGGUACUUUCGCCCGACAUUUGCAAACAAAGCACCCGCUCAAGGUUGGAUUGAGCCGCGAUCAAACACAAAUAUCCGGUAGCGAGGGUAAACGAACGAAGAAAAGAAAGAGACGAAACAGAAAACAAGGAUCAGGCGCAGUCAUCGCAUGUUUCAAAUGCACAGAUACGUGACAACGAAAAGAUUCCAGAUUGAGAAUACCAAAAUCUCAGGGAGGAUGGACGAACAGGCGAAGACAAGCAGAAAUCGAGAAUUGCGUCUUUUCUACUGCCGAUUCCGAUCACUUCGAUGAAAUUGGGCCCCUCCUGUGAAGCAUUCCCGCAUUCGUCUUGCCUAUAAAGAAUCGGAUUCCCAUUUUGCGACCAGAAUUUCUCGCAACAGAAUGCGAUUCGGAGAGGCCUCUGAUUGGGACGCAUUCGUCGCCGGAACUUGGCCCCGUUAAACAAGUGAGUGUUGAAGAACCAUUUCAACUUUGCAGCGUGCGCUCUGUGCGAGGAGGGGAGAGAGACUCCGUAAGGAGCCGUGGAAAUGUGAAGCUCCAUUGAUUUCUUCUUCUUCGGCCGAUUCGCAGAAGCAAACAAGUUUCAGAGGA